rnacentral:rRNA from 1 species
GCUCAAAUUUGAAAUCUGGCACCUUCGGUGUCCGAGUUGUAAUUUGAAGAUUGUAACCUUGGGGUUGGCUCUUGUCUAUGUUUCUUGGAACAGGACGUCACAGAGGGUGAGAAUCCCGUGCGAUGAGAUGCCCAAUCCUAUGUAAGGUGCUUUCGAAGAGUCGAGUUGUUUGGGAAUGCAGCUCUAAGUGGGUGGUAAAUUCCAUCUAAAGCUAAAUAUUGGCGAGAGACCGAUAGCGAACAAGUACAGUGAUGGAAAGAUGAAAAGAACUUUGAAAAGAGAGUGAAAAAGUACGUGAAAUUGUUGAAAGGGAAGGGUUUGAGAUCAGACUCGAUAUUUUGUGAGCCUUGCCUUCGUGGCGGGGUGACCCGCAGCUUAUCGGGCCAGCAUCGGUUUGGGCGGUAGGAUAAUGGCGUAGGAAUGUGACUUUGCUUCGGUGAAGUGUUAUAGCCUGCGUUGAUGCUGCCUGCCUAGACCGAGGACUGCGAUUUUAUCAAGGAUGCUGGCAUAAUGAUCCC